AUAAUGGGUCAGCGACUUAUAUUCUGUAGCAAGGUUAACCGAAUAGGGGAGCCGAAGGGAAACCGAGUCUUAACUGGGCGUUAAGUUGCAGGGUAUAGACCCGAAACCCGGUGAUCUAGCCAUGGGCAGGUUGAAGGUUGGGUAACACUAACUGGAGGACCGAACCGACUAAUGUUGAAAAAUUAGCGGAUGACUUGUGGCUGGGGGUGAAAGGCCAAUCAAACCGGGAGAUAGCUGGUUCUCCCCGAAAGCUAUUUAGGUAGCGCCUCGUGAAUUCAUCUCCGGGGGUAGAGCACUGUUUCGGCAAGGGGGUCAUCCCGACUUACCAACCCGAUGCAAACUGCGAAUACCGGAGAAUGUUAUCACGGGAGACACACGGCGGGUGCUAACGUCCGUCGUGAAGAGGGAAACAACCCAGACCGCCAGCUAAGGUCCCAAAGUCAUGGUUAAGUGGGAAACGAUGUGGGAAGGCCCAGACAGCCAGGAUGUUGGCUUAGAAGCAGCCAUCAUUUAAAGAAAGCGUAAUAGCUCACUGGUCGAGUCGGCCUGCGCGGAAGAUGUAACGGGGCUAAACCAUGCACCGAAGCUGCGGCAGCGACGCUUAUGCGUUGUUGGGUAGGGGAGCGUUCUGUAAGCCUGCGAAGGUGUGCUGUGAGGCAUGCUGGAGGUAUCAGAAGUGCGAAUGCUGACAUAAGUAACGAUAAAGCGGGUGAAAAGCCCGCUCGCCGGAAGACCAAGGGUUCCUGUCCAACGUUAAUCGGGGCAGGGUGAGUCGACCCCUAAGGCGAGGCCGAAAGGCGUAGUCGAUGGGAAACAGGUUAAUAUUCCUGUACUUGGUGUUACUGCGAAGGGGGGACGGAGAAGGCUAUGUUGGCCGGGCGACGGUUGUCCCGGUUUAAGCGUGUAGGCUGGUUUUCCAGGCAAAUCCGGAAAAUCAAGGCUGAGGCGUGAUGACGAGGCACUACGGUGCUGAAGCAACAAAUGCCCUGCUUCCAGGAAAAGCCUCUAAGCAUCAGGUAACAUCAAAUCGUACCCCAAACCGACACAGGUGGUCAGGUAGAGAAUACCAAGGCGCUUGAGAGAACUCGGGUGAAGGAACUAGGCAAAAUGGUGCCGUAACUUCGGGAGAAGGCACGCUGAUAUGUAGGUGAAGUCCCUUGCGGAUGGAGCUGAAAUCAGUCGAAGAUACCAGCUGGCUGCAACUGUUUAUUAAAAACACAGCACUGUGCAAACACGAAAGUGGACGUAUACGGUGUGACGCCUGCCCGGUGCCGGAAGGUUAAUUGAUGGGGUUAGCGCAAGCGAAGCUCUUGAUCGAAGCCCCGGUAAACGGCGGCCGUAACUAUAACGGUCCUAAGGUAGCGAAAUUCCUUGUCGGGUAAGUUCCGACCUGCACGAAUGGCGUAAUGAUGGCCAGGCUGUCUCCACCCGAGACUCAGUGAAAUUGAACUCGCUGUGAAGAUGCAGUGUACCCGCGGCAAGACGGAAAGACCCCGUGAACCUUUACUAUAGCUUGACACUGAACAUUGAGCCUUGAUGUGUAGGAUAGGUGGGAGGCUUUGAAGUGUGGACGCCAGUCUGCAUGGAGCCGGCCUUGAAAUACCACCCUUUAAUGUUUGAUGUUCUAACGUUGACCCGUAAUCCGGGUUGCGGACAGUGUCUGGUGGGUAGUUUGACUGGGGCGGUCUCCUCCUAAAGAGUAACGGAGGAGCACGAAGGUUGGCUAAUCCUGGUCGGACAUCAGGAGGUUAGUGCAAUGGCAUAAGCCAGCUUGACUGCGAGCGUGACGGCGCGAGCAGGUGCGAAAGCAGGUCAUAGUGAUCCGGUGGUUCUGAAUGGAAGGGCCAUCGCUCAACGGAUAAAAGGUACUCCGGGGAUAACAGGCUGAUACCGCCCAAGAGUUCAUAUCGACGGCGGUGUUUGGCACCUCGAUGUCGGCUCAUCACAUCCUGGGGCUGAAGUAGGUCCCAAGGGUAUGGCUGUUCGCCAUUUAAAGUGGUACGCGAGCUGGGUUUAGAACGUCGUGAGACAGUUCGGUCCCUA
rnacentral:rRNA from 1 species